AUGUCCGGCACCGGCGCGGUGACCGUGGCUGUUGCCGACGCGGCAGCGACGCCCACCGGGGAGUGCUACUUCUGCGCCGGCGCUCCGGCUGUGGUGUACUGCCGUGCGGACGCCGCGGGGCUCUGCCUGCCGUGCGACCGCCACGUCCACGGCGCCAACACGGUCUCCUGCCGCCACGCCCGCGCCCCGCUCUGCGCGGUCUGCCGCGCUGCCGCGGCCACCGUCCGCCGCGGCGCUGCCCGGUUCCUCUGCUCGAACUGCGACUUCGAGGAGCAGCAGCACGGGGAGCUAACGCAGGUGCCGCUGCUGCACGACCGUGGCAUGGUCGAGGGCUACACCGGGUGCCCCUCGGUGGGCGAGCUCGCGGCGAUCCUCGGCAUCGUCGUCGGCGACAAAGCGGCUGAGGCGUGGUGGCCUCUUUGGGAGGAGCCCCAAGUGCUCAGCUUCGACGACGUCGUCGUGCCGACCACCGCCUGCCAUGGCCUCCAGCCCCUCCUCGCAUCGUCCUCUCCAAAGAACCGGAGCCCGCCCUGCGGGGAGCUGGACGGCGAGGUUCUCCGGCAGCUAGGGGAGCUCGCCAAGUCGGAGGAGGCGGCGACAGAGCCGGCCUGCGUUGAUCAGCUGCCUCCACCAUGGGGAUCUUCAGAUUACGCUGCUAUUGGGCAUGGUGAUCUUGGGGCUCUUGGAGCUGAGGCCAUCUGCACGGCAGCAAUCCUGCAUGUACCUUCAUGCCAGCAGAACCAGGAGGCGUGGAUCGCGACGAGUUGCAAUGAACUUCCCGAGCAGGUCUCGGCGAGCUCGUCGGCGGAGCCGAGCCUGUCGUCGUUCGUGGAGGUGUCGGACGUCUGCCCCGGCCUGAGCCGCAGCGGCAGCAGCAGCGUCGACGACGCCACCAACGCCGGGCACGAUCACCCUUCGCCGGCUGCGGCACCCGUGACAUUGCAGGCGCAAACGGCACCAGCUCAGGCGACCAAGAAGGUCGGCGGCUACGACGUGGUCUACCCCGACCGCGGCAAGGUGAUCUCGCGCUACAAGGAGAAGAGGAAGAACAGGAUGUUCGGGAAGCAGAUCCGGUACGAGUCGCGCAAGGCCCGCGCCGACGGCCGGGUGAGGAUCAACGGCCGGUUCGCCAAGUCGAGCCAGUAG
rnacentral:rRNA from 1 species